UACGGGGGGUGCGAGCGUUGUCCGGAAUCACUGGGCGUAAGGGGCGCGUAGGUGGCCCGGUCAGUUCGUGGUGAAAGCGCGGGGCUCAACCCUGCGUCGGCCAUGAAUACUGCCGCGGCUGGAGCACUGUAGAGGCAGGCGGAAUUCCGGGUGUAGCGGUGGAAUGCGUAGAGAUCCGGAAGAACACCGGUGGCGAAGGCGGCCUGC
rnacentral:rRNA from 1 species